rnacentral:rRNA from 1 species
AUGCCUCCUUGCUCCAGUCUUCUGCCUGCUGGUGCCUCACUUCCGCCGUCUAUCAUCUUCGUGCUAGGGCGAUUCCCUCACACUCCCACAGGCCGUACUACUCUUCCCCUCAGCCUGGAAAGACCCAUUGGGGCGAGGGGGCAGAAGUUGGCGCAGCUCUAUGUGGCGUUUAACUGCUUCAAGGCACCACGAAGUGGCAAGAAAUGGGGUCGCUGGAGAGAGGGUGCCGAGGGCUUCCAAGUUUUCGCUGGAGCAGCAAAGAAGGAAAUUGGAAGGUGCUUUAUUAUUUAG